GUGAAGAUCUGUUAGCUUGUGUAACUGAUGUACAACAAGACCAAGUAAUUGGAACUCAAAAUAGUAUAGUUACACAGAGCUUCAUGAAUUCACAGUCAAUAUGUUCAAUUGAAAGAGAGGUAGAUGCAAAAAAAGAGGAACAACAGGAAAAUGAAAAAUAAUCCAGCCGAGGGUCUUAAUCUUUUGGUGGAAGCAAUGGAGCAAGCGUUAUGGAAUGGCUAGGGAUGAAGGAAUUUGUGGACAUAACCUAGUGUUGUUUGUAAUAUGUUCUAGUAAUAUGUAAUUUAGUGACAAGUGUUGUGAAUAGUUUCAGACUUUUAGAGUAUAUUGUCAUUUUCUAAGUGAGAUUUUUGUUUUAGAGCAAGAUUGAGAUGAUACAUCCAUGUUCCGAUGGAGUGAGUGCUCAUUGUUUUUGGGUCUCAAUAUUCUUACAGAUUGAUAGUUGUAGGUGAAUUACCAAUCAUCUGGUUGGCUUCAAUGGCUUGUGUCUUUCCAACUUGGUUAGGAUCGACCAUUUUUCUUUUUUCUUUUGAAUGUGGAAGAACAGGAUGAUGUGAAGAAGAUGGAAUUGUACUUCAUUGGAAUCAGUCUAUGGAAUUUUAGAUGAAUAAAGGCUUUCCUGCUAGCUGCUAUAUUGAUGUGGGUCAAAAUGAUCUCGAUGGAGCCUUUAUUCGAAAUCAGAAGACCAAGUACUUGCUUUGAUUCAAAC